GUAAUUUAUAAAACAGUGCCAAUGUUUUCAUGAAGGGGAGUAAGACUUGUGGUAUAAGAUAUCUUAAAUACAAUAGCAGGCCAGUCCCAAGUUUCAGUCCAGAUAGCAGAUGAGUAGCAACUCCAUGGAAGAUGUUUACUUAGAUCUUCAACCAAGUCCGAGGCUUUGCCAUGUAAGCAAUCAAGCACCAAGGAUAGCAGCUGGAAUGAAGAUUAAUUAUUACAUUGAUCUUCAAACAAGUCUGAGGCUUUGUCAUGAAAGAAAUAAUGCAAGUUAUAAAACAGUGCCAAUGUUUUCAUGAAGGGGAGUAAGACUUGUGGUAUAAGAUAUCUUAAAUACAAGUUAGCAUUACAGCUUGUACUUACAGAUUGAUGUUGGAAAUGGCUAUUAGAGUUGACUUUUAAAAAUAACAAUUACUGUGGUUGAAGAAUAUAAUUAUGUGAUGAAUUCUCCAUACUCCUUAGAGAUGUUUUGAAGGUUCUUAACAUGUUGAAAGCUGGGGACUCUCACUUCACAAGACAUCAGAUUUAACAUCCCCAUUCUGACACUGGACAUGGCUGCCAAUUUGUACAUGCUGCACUACCAAACAGAAGCCUUAUUUACUUUUGCAAGGAUUUUACUGCCAGUCUGAAGAAGACCAAGAGUGACCAUAUUUCCCUUUGGGGUCUUUCUAACUCUACUGAACAGUUUCCAAUAUAAACGGUUCACAUAAAUCUUGCAUAAACAAGAGAAAGAAUGUAGUUGGUAAAUUCUAAAAUAAUUAAUGUAAAGAUUCUCCAUUUUCAACAAGAGUGGAAGUUUUGAUUAAGGUUAAUGUAUUGUUUUUUGAAUUUUCACUCAAAUUUCUUUUUCUCACUAUCAUUAAAUGCUAUUGAUUUUUAUUAUUGUGGCUCAACAGAUAAAAAUUUUCCUAUUAAGUUAACAUUUACAUUGGUUAAGAAUGGAGAAUCUACAAAUAACAAAAAUAUUAUAAAUAAUUUUAGUAUAGCAAUGAGUUUGAAACUUUUUCUUCUUCUGUAAGAUAGUAAAGGGUUCGGAUAUAUGCCUGUUGAGAAUAAAAUUACAAAUAGAGAGUGAAAGUAGUUGUGACAGUAAACUGAAUUAAGAAUGUUAAAUAAAAUAUGUUUUUGCAAAUUUGGACGACAAUUAAUUACAAUUAUGUACCAUUUCAACAAUAGAAGUAGUAUAGACUUGCAAAUCCGUACCAUUACAACACUGGAAGUAGUAUGGUUGUCUGAGCGAAGCCAAUUGGAAGCACGUACCUCUUAG